rnacentral:rRNA from 1 species
UACGUAGGGUGCGAGCGUUGUCCGGAAUUAUUGGGCGUAAAGAGCUUGUAGGCGGUUGAUUGCGUCAGAAGUGAAAUCUCAGGGCUUAACCCUGAGCGUGCUUCUGAUACGGGUUGACUAGAGGAAAGUAGGGGAGAACGGAAUUCCUGGUGGAGCGGUGGAAUGCGCAGAUAUCAGGAGGAACACCGGUGGCGAAGGCGGUUCUCUGGACUUUUCCUGACGCUGAGAAGCGAAAGCGUGGGGAGCAAACAGG